GUGGUUGUAGCUCAGUCGCGUAAGCGCCCGCUUCUCACGCCAGAGAGAUGCGGGUUCGAAUCCCGGCGUUGACA
rnacentral:tRNA from 1 species